UGAGUAUCUUGUAUUUGUAGCAAUCAUCUCUGAACUUUGAAUGGAAAGUGCACGAGGUUGAUCUUUGUGAAUUUCAAGCUUAUUUUCAGCUGGAAUUAUGAACUUCAACAUUAGUCCAUCAACUCUGACAUCAACAUGUUCAUCUGAUUUUGAAUUGUCAUUUAACUUGUACAUGGCCAUGAACUGAAUAAGACUUUGUUUCAAAUCCAACACAAACUGGUUUAGCCAAAG
rnacentral:lncRNA from 1 species